rnacentral:misc_RNA from 1 species
AAUGUGCUAAAAAAAAGUGUUUAGUUAAUAAUAGUGCAUAAACUUGUGCUCGAGUUAUGUGUGUAUGCCGUUGUUAUGUUAGCUAGGUGCGACACGUAGCGGAAAUGUGUGAAAAACGUACACGAAAAAAAUGAAAUCAAGCCCAAAAUACGUCGCUAACGGUGGGGGGAAAGAGGAUGAUGGCCAAACAUAGCCACAGCGAAAAACGUCAAAUAAAAAGUGACACGCAAAACAAGCCCAAUAUGCAAUUAUAUUCAAAAUAAACGAGCUAAAUAAUAUAUAUAUAUACAAAGAAAAAUUCGUAAACACGACGAAAAUAACAGCAACAACAACAAGAAUAAUUUAACAACUGCACCUGUGUUGGUGGUGCCUGUAUAUGUGUGUGCUUCUGUCGUCGCAUCACACACAGUAGCUGGAUUGUUGCUUUUGUUGUUUGGGGUUGAAAGCUGCAUAACGCGUGACGUACGUGUGACAGUGUGUGUACCCAACCCCCUACACACAAACACAUACAGACACGCUCACACCAACAACAACAGACUCCUACCCACACUCGAAUGCGUAGUUAGGAGGAAAGAAGAAGAAGCCAACACAGAGACUAGGAAAUACAGAGAGAAAAGACAACGACGACAACAACAACAACAAAAAUGAUGGACAACGAUGACACAAUGCUCAAUAAUUGUGGACCACAGUCGGGCGCUGAGACAGUCUAUGGCACCGAGGACAACAAUAUGGUCAUGUCGGAGAAGGUGCAGCAGCUGGCUGGCAGCAUUUAUCAGGAGUUCGAGCGAAUGAUCAAUCGCUAUGACGAGGAUGUGGUUAAGAACCUGAUGCCACUGCUCGUGAACGUGCUGGAGUGCCUGGAUGCCUCCUAUCGCAUCAAUCAGGAGCAGGACGUGGAGGUGGAGCUGCUACGCGAGGACAAUGAACAGUUGGUAACACAAUAUGAGCGAGAGAAGAGCGCACGCAAACAGUCUGAGCAAAAGCUGCUGGAGGCGGAGGACCUAGCCGAGCAGGAGAACAAAGAGCUCGCCAGCCGACUGGAGGCCCUGGAGAGUAUUGUGCGCAUGCUGGAACUAAAACACAAGAACAGCGUUGAGCAUGCCAGUCGCCUGGAGGAGCGUGAGGCGGACCUCAAAAAGGAGUAUGCCAGGCUGCAUGAACGCUACACGGAACUGUUCAAGAACCAUGUGGACUACAUGGAACGCACCAAAAUGCUGAUGGGUUCGACUCACUCCCAAAUGAGCAAUGCCUCCGAUCGCAUGGAUGUGAGUCGGGCUCGACUCAAUCCAGUCGCGCGUAGCUCUGGCCCCGUCUCCUACGGUUUUGCCUCUCUGGAGAACUCUGUAAUGUUGGAUACGGAGACGAUUUGCAGUGCGGGCAGUCAGUCGGAUGACUCGGGACCGCCAUCGCUGCAGAAUGAACUGGACAAUUUGGCUAGCAGCGUCGAACGUGCCGGUGCAGCAGAUGCGCUUGCCGGCUCGCCACAGAGUCCAGACAUGAGUCCCGUUGUGCCAAAUGUGCCCGCAAAUGUUGGUCGUUCGACUACCAAAAAGGAGCACCGCUCGGACAAUAAUCUCUACCAAGAAUUGUCCUUCCCGGAUAACGAAGAGAGCGAAGAGAAUGAGAUUGUUACAGGCAGCUGGGUACAUCCCGGAGAGUACGCAUCCUCAGGCAUGGGCAAGGAGGUGGAGAAUCUCAUCAUGGAGAACAAUGAGCUGCUGGCGACCAAAAAUGCACUCAACAUUGUCAAGGACGAUUUGAUUGUCAAAGUGGAUGAGCUGACGGGUGAGAUAGAAAUUGUGCGCGAAGAGCUGAAUGCCAUGCAACAGUCGCGUACGAAGCUCAGGCAGCGCAUCAGCGAGCUGGAGGAUGACCUCAAGAAGACCAAGGAACAGGUGAAACAACAAAACACCGAGCAGGAGGAGAAUGAUGUGCCGCUGGCUCAGCGCAAACGCUUUACUCGUGUGGAAAUGGCCAUGGUGCUGAUGGAGCGUAAUCAGUACAAGGAGCGGCUGAUGGAGCUGCAGGAGGCGGUGCGCCUUACAGAAAUAUUGCGCGCAUCGCGCACUGUUGAUAAUUUGGACAAGAAGUCGAAGCAGAGUAUUUGGAAAUACUUUAGUAAUCUUUUUACCCCCUCCAAUCGUCCGACGGAACGCGUCGCUGACGGCCUUGGAGGGGGGCCUAUGUUUCGUCACACAGGCGGAGGAAGCCCUGCCCACAGCCAUGGAUCACCUAGCCGUGGAGGAGGCGACAAUCGCCUUGCCCUAACCGGUGGGCAGCCAAUGCCGCAUCCGGCUAGCGCCGGUCUUGCCAAUGCUUUAAUCAUGGCCAAGGAUUAUGCGGAGGAGGGCACUUCGGAGCGUAUCAGCGCCAGGCGGCGCGAACAAUAUCGACAACUGCGCGCCCAUGUGCAAAAGGAGGACGGACGCCUGCAUGCGUACGGCUGGAGCUUGCCCAUUAACAAAACCAAUCUAGAUGCCAAUCCGAGUCGUCAUUCGGGCGGUGUGCCCGUGCCUGUUUAUUGCAAUCCGCUGGCGGAGGCAUCGCCGCACAUGAAAGUGUUUUGCGCGGCCGGUGUCAAUCUGCAGGGUGGCUUCACCAAGGAUGGCCAAUCGCUGAUACCCGCCAACUCGCCCUAUGCGCCGCACUCCACCCUCAAAAUAGCGGAGAUCACAAGUCCAACAGCGGAGCAGAGUGCCGAGGCGCUGGAUCGCCAAAUGGCCCGUGCCUGCCUCGAAACGCUGGAGCCCGAGACGCAGCUCAGUUCGUUUGUAUGGAUCUGCACAAGCACACAUGCCGCCAGCACUGUCAGUGUUGUGGAUGCGAAUCAGUCGGCCACAGUGCUGGAUGCUUUUCCGAUAUGCGCAUCGCAUCUGCUGUGCAUUGCAUCCGUGCAGGGCGCCAUGGAGAGUGACUAUGCCCUGCUCGAGCAAUCUGAGGUGGUCAAGGCGGGUGAGAUGCUGCAGCGGCCAGGCGAGGGCACCGAGCUGCUCGGCAAGGUGGAGUUUGUGCGUGUCCGACCCAAAGCGGAUCAGAACAGCAACAGUAAACAGAACUCAAAAGAGGACGCUGAGGAGGAGGUCGUAGCGGUUACUGUUGUUGUUGGCGUGGCCGAGGCCAAAGAGGCGACAGAGAAAUCCAAUGAGCAGCUGCCCGCUGUGGAUGCCAGCGAACCGCUGGGCAAUGUAGAGGCCAUUAAAAUACGUCAGGCGUUGCCGGGAGCACCGCGGCGACUGAUCAGCAACUCCGAAAAUAGCAGCAAUCAUGUCAACAACAAUAACACCAACGGAGGCAGCAAUGUGCCAUUGGGCAUUAAUUCACUGAAUCCCAUACUGGGCACCAAGGAGCGCGAGGAUCCGGUCAUGAGUUCGGUGGGUCCCACUAUGUGGUUGGGCGCCCAAGAUGGUUGGCUGUACGUGCACAGCAGUGUGGGACGGUGGCAUGAGUGUCUGCACCGGGUGCUCCUGCCCGAUGCUGUGCUGGCGAUUGUGCAUGUGGAGGCGCGUGUUGUUGUUGCGCUGGCCAAUGCUCAGUUAGCCGUGUUCCGCCGCCAAACAGACGGCCAAUGGGAUCUGAAUAGUUAUCACCUGGUUACGCUCGGUGAUCGCAAUCAUUCGAUACGUUGCCUCUGUGUGGCCGGCGAGCGCAUUUGGGCUGCGCAUCGCAACAAAAUCUUUAUUGUUGAUCCCAUAUCGCUAAACAUUGUACACUCGCUAGACGCGCAUCCGCGCAAAGAGAGCCAGGUGCGCCAAAUGGCAGCCACUGGCGCCGGCGUCUGGGUAUCCAUACGUUUGGAUUCCACACUGCGGCUGUACAAUACGCAUACGUUUGAGCACAAGCAGGAUGUGGACAUUGAGCCGUAUGUGUCCAAAAUGCUAGGCACCGGCAAGCUGGGCUUCAGCUUUGUGCGCAUCACAGCGCUGAUGGUGUCCUGCAAUCGCCUCUGGAUUGGCACCAGCAACGGUGUCAUCAUCUCUGUGCCGCUGGCCGAGACUCAGCAAAAGUCAUCUGAUCCCCAUGGCCAAAUGCCAUUGUGCUGCAUGGCCAAUGCUCAACUGUCCUUCCAUGGCCAUCGCGAUGCAGUCAAGUUCUUUGUAUCGGUGCCCAUGCUGCAGCAGCCGAAUGGCACACUCACCUUCAGCAAUAAGCGCCCCGAUAUGUUGGUCAUGUGCGGCGGAGAGGGUUAUAUUGAUUUUCGCAUAAGACAUGAUAAAUUCGAUGCUAGUGAUAAUGCAGCGCAUUUGAUAGUUUGGAAAGUCGAUACUACCUUCAAUUUGUAGUGCUCCGCUCAGCGUCGCGACGCCGCCACGCUCAAUAAAUGGGAAUGCAGCAUUUGUCCGAGCCGUGCGAUCUGAUUCUCAAGACCCCUAAGGUGACAAUGACAUGGAGAACAGUAUACAACUGGAACCAAAUCAAACAAUCGAAAAUCGAGGCG